GAUGAACGCUGGCGGCGUGCCUAAUACAUGCAAGUCGAACGGACAGACGAUGAUCUUGCUCCGCGGACGUGAGCCGCGGACGUGUGAGUAACACGUGUAUAACCUACCUAUAAUACUGAUAAAACUUCGGAAAACCGGAUCUAAUACCGUAGAAGAUAUUGAACCACAUUGGGCGAUGGUAAGAUACGGUGUUUCGGGCACGUAUAGAUGGAUCCCGGCCUCAUUAGCUAGUUGGUAAGUUAACGGCUUACCAAGGCAACGAUGCGUAGACGACGUGUGAGAGUGAUAGCCCACCCUGGAACGGAGCCACGGACAAGACUCCUAAGGGAGGCCGCAGUCGCGAACGUUACGCAAUGGGCGAAAGUAUGACGGAGCAACGCCGAGCGAGUGAUGAAGGCCUCCGGAUCGUAAAACUCUGUUAUUAGGGAAGAACAACUGUGUACGUAAACAUGCACGUAUUGACGGUAACUAAUAAGAAAGCACCGGCUAACUACGUG
rnacentral:rRNA from 1 species